rnacentral:rRNA from 1 species
UUGACCUCAAAUCAGGUAGGACUACCCGCUGAACUUAAGCAUAUCAAUAAGCGGAGGAAAAGAAACUAACAAGGAUUCCCCUAGUAACUGCGAGUGAAGCGGGAAAAGCUCAAAUUUAAAAUCUGGCGGUCUCUGGCCGUCCGAGUUGUAAUCUAGAGAAGUGUUAUCCGCGCUGGACCGUGUACAAGUCUCCUGGAAUGGAGCGUCAUAGAGGGUGAGAAUCCCGUCUUUGACACGGACUGCCAGGGCUUUGUGAUGCGCUCUCAAAGAGUCGAGUUGUUUGGGAAUGCAGCUCAAAAUGGGUGGUAAAUUCCAUCUAAAGCUAAAUAUUGGCGAGAGACCGAUAGCGAAC